rnacentral:lncRNA from 1 species
GUGGGCUCACGACACUCGUAGCUCACUUUCUCACUUCCUGAACCCUAGGCAGAAACCUUAGGGUACACAAGAAAAGCCUGCGCCCACUUCUCUCUUCUUUUCUCUUCUUUUCUUUUCUUUUCUCACGCAGGAAAGCUCUCUCAUGCCACCCUUCUCACUCAGAUGUCAUCUACACAUGCCCAAUCUUAUCUCCUUUUUAAAAUGAUGCAAGACC